rnacentral:lncRNA from 1 species
AGCGUUAUUUUCUUUGAUACCAAUUGUUGGAACUAGUAUUUGUACUGAUACCGAUUAUAUAACACAAGAUUUAAAAUAGAACAAAAUAAUAUGAAGAAUAGAUAUUGGAGGAGGAAGAAGGUAACUAAACUAAUACUUUAUUAAUAAAAGACAAUUAAUUACAUUCUCGGUAACACCCAUGCAGCCAUGUCUACUAUGACUUAGGCUUAGUUUGGUAUUGAGGUCUAUCUAACGCUAUUAGAUAAAAUGGAGUUGAGAAAAAAGCAUAUAGGGAUAUGCUUCUGCGUUAUCCGGUGGGACCGCAGAAAAUAUAUCAUAACUGACUCAUCGCGAUAUGCGGAACGCAAUAUUACGUACGAAAACAAACAGGGUAUUUUUCCAUCGUCGUUUCUCACCGCACAUAACGCAAUCUCCCCGCAAUCCCAAACGAAACCUUAUUCCUCUAAUUAACCCAUUCCUCUAACUAAUCCAUGUCUAACUAUAUAUAACCAUCAAAUCAUAAUAGAUGAUAAAUCUAAUUUUACUUUGGAUAAAUACAUAUCCUAACCAUAAUAAAAUAUUUAAAUUUAUCUAUAACUAUAUUUUAAUUAAGUUUGAAUUAUUAUUUCCAACAUCCUCCCUUAAUUCAAACUUUAUCUACGAGUCGCAAAUCCCGUGAACACGCACUUUGAUUUUGCAAUCUCUGUCGCUGUUGUUGUCGUCUUGUUCGAGUUGUGCAGCAUGACGCAUGUCCAAUGAUGUUGCCAUGGUUGAAAUCUUUGCCAUCUGUAGUCUUGAUUAUCCACACCAUCCUUAAAAAUCUGCAGUCCAACAAAUAUCUUGAAAAACAUGUAAUUUUGAUAAAAUUGGAUCGAUAUGAAUUUUAUAAUUUUGUGGUAACCGAGGAGAGUUUGAUCGACACGAUGUUUGUUCAAUGCAUUGAUCUUGAUUUGUGCAUUUUCAUGUGCUUUCUGCUUUCGUAAAUCUAAUUUGUGAUUUGCAUCUUCGAUCACAACAAAAUUAUGAUAAACUUUCUCCGCGCUUUGCUGUAUAAUUUUUUCAUCAAUAGAAAUUUCUUCAAUCAUAUUAUCAUAGUGAACUUUCUCGUCGAUCUGAGUUGCACCGUUUUGAUCAUCAACAUACUCUUCACGAAUAUGAUCUUCAUGAUUUUGAUUAGAUUUUUCUUUCCAAAUUUCUUUGCAAAUUGGGACUUUAGUAUCUUUAUUGUUGGGUUGAAUUUCUUUUUCUUCUUAAAUUUCAUUUUCUUCCUGUAAAUAUUCUCCUCCAAUUUUCGAUAGCAUUCUCCACGCUUCUUGUACUGUCUUUAUCGUUAAAAUUUUACCAACCAAUGAUAGAUUCACUGCUUGUAAAAUAUAUGAUAGAACUUCUCUAUCUCUUUUUCUAAAAUCUCCUCACCAAAUUCUUUUUCAUAAUUUCUAUUUUCUACUAUACCCCACAAAUCUUGAAAUUCUAAAAAAACAUCGAAUGGUGAUUUUCCAUCGUUUAAAGUUUGUUCCAUCGAACUUUUGUAAGCCAGGUUGAAUAAACUAAUAUCUAAAUCCAUAACAAAAACUUGAUAAUCUGAAAAAUAAGUUUCAGAUUUGUACCUUUCUGUUUAAAUGACAUCCUUAAUUCAUCAAGAUCUCGCCGAAUUUUCUCUACUUCGGCUUGCUUGCCUAGCCCUCCUGGCUAUCUGUUCAAGUCUUCUUGGAUCUCUUCACGGGCUCUCGUUGCUCUCUUUUCGUCAAGCGUCACAACCACCUGCUGUCGUGUGUUGUGCGGAGGCCAAUUUCUUUAAAGCGAUUCCUUCACUUUGGUUUUACCUGAACGUCACCUUCGUUGAUCAGCUACGAGUCGCUUGAUUUUGACGUAGCUAUCCGGUACAUUGGAUCUAUAUUCUUUUCGAAUAUAGUAUCAUUUGGUUUAUAAGUCAGAUGGUACUUUCCGGCUCUUUCCGGCUCUGAUACCACUUGUUGGAAUCGUGAUUUUCUCUGAUACCAAUUAUUGGAACUAGUAUUUAUGCUGAUAUCGAUUAUAUAACCCAAGAUCUGAAAUAGAACAAAAUAAUAUAGAGAAAAUAUAUUGGAGGAGGAAGAAGAUAACUAAACUAAUACUUUAUUAAUAAAAGACAAUUAAUUACAUUCUCGGUAGGUACCCGUAAAGCAAUGUCUAUUAUGACUUAUUCUUUUAAUUAACCUAUUCCUCUAACUAACCCAUGCCUAACUAUAUAUAACCAUCAAAUCAUAAUAGAUAAUAAAUCUAAUUAUACUUUGGAUAAAAUAAUAUCCUAACCAUAAUAAAAUAUUUAAACUUAUCUAUAACUAUAUUUUAAUUAAGUUUGGAUUAUUAUUUCCAACAAUAACAAAAGUACUA